AUUGAACGCUGGCGGCAGGCCUAACACAUGCAAGUCGAGCGGAGGAAGGGAGCUUGCUCCUGGAUUCAGCGGCGGACGGGUGAGUAAUGCCUAGGAAUCUGCCUGGUAGUGGGGGAUAACGUCCGGAAACGGGCGCUAAUACCGCAUACGUCCUGAGGGAGAAAGUGGGGGAUCUUCGGACCUCACGCUAUCAGAUGAGCCUAGGCCGGAUUAGCUAGUUGGUGGGGUAAAGGCCUACCAAGGCGACGAUCCGUAACUGGUCUGAGAGGAUGAUCAGUCACACUGGAACUGAGACACGGUCCAGACUCCUACGGGAGGCAGCAGUGGGGAAUAUUGGACAGUGGGCGAAAGCCUGAUCCAGCCAUGCCGCGUGUGUGAAGAAGGUCUUCGGAUUGUAAAGCACUUUAAGUUGGGAGGAAGGGCAGUAAGUUAAUACCUUGCUGUUUUGACGUUACCAACAGAAUAAGCACCGGCUAACUUCGUG
rnacentral:rRNA from 1 species